rnacentral:ncRNA from 1 species
AAUUUGGAGUGUUUUGGCUGGUUUUUUUGUUUAAAAUAGUGUUUUAUGUGAGAUUUUUCUUUAUUUAUGUUUAUUUUAAAUAAUUUAUUUUUGUUAAUUUGCAGAGAUUAGUUUUAUUUAUUUAUUAAUUUAAGAAAUAGGAAUUUUUUUAGAAUAAACUAAACUUGUGCCAGCAGUAGCGGUUAUACAAGUUAUUCAAUAAAAAAUUUUUGGUUUUAGAUAGCUGAUUUUAGGAUUUAUUUUUAAAAAUAUUGAGUGAAAUUUUAUUUUUAUAUUAAUUUGUUUAGGGGUGUUUCUAGGAAAUUUUGUGAGAAACUAGGAUUAGAUACCCUAUUAUAAAAUAGUAGUUUGAAAUAUCAGAUUAGUAUUAGGAUUGUAUUUUCUUGAAAAUUAAAUAAGUUGGCGGUAUUUUAGUCUAUUCAGAGGAACCUGUCCUGUUAUUGAUAUUCCACGUUUUUAUUUACUUAGUUUGUUAAUUUGCAUAUCGCCGUUGUUGAAUAUUUUUUAAGAAUUUAAAUGUUCAAAAAUUUAUAAGAUAAAAAUUCAGGUCAAGAUGUAGUUUAUACCUAAGAAGAGAUGGGUUACUUUAUAAAUAUUUUAGGAUUUUUUUUUGUAAUUGGGGGGAUGAAAAAGGAUUUGAUAGUAAUAUUUUUAAGAUUUUAAUUAUGAUUUUAGCUCUAAAGUAUGCACAUAUCGCCCGUCGCUUUCACUUUUAAAGUGAAAUAAGUCGUAACACAGUAGGAGUACUGGAAAGUGUUCCUAGAAUCAA